CGUGUAGGCGGUUGAAAAAGUCAGGUGUGAAAUUCUUCGGCUCAACCGGGGGACUGCGCCUGAAACUUUUUCGACUGGAGUUCGGGAGGGGCAACUGGAAUUUCCUGGUGUAACGGUGAAAUGUGUAGAUAUCAGGAGGAACACCCGUGGCGAAGGCGGGUUGCUGGACCGAAACUGACGCUGAGACGCGAAAGCGUGGGUAGCAAACA
rnacentral:rRNA from 1 species